GACGAACGCUGGCGGCGUGCCUAAUACAUGCAAGUAGAGCGCACAGUUUAUACCGUAGCUUGCUACACCAUAGACUGUGAGUUGCGAACGGGUGAGUAACGCGUAGGUAACCUGCCUGGUAGCGGGGGAUAACUAUUGGAAACGAUAGCUAAUACCGCAUAAUAUUAAUUAUUGCAUGAUAAUUAAUUGAAAGGUGCAAUUGCACCACUACCAGAUGGACCUGCGUUGUAUUAGCUAGUAGGUGAGGUAACGGCUCACCUAGGCGACGAUACAUAGCCGACCUGAGAGGGUGAUCGGCCACACUGGGACUGAGACACGGCCCAGACUCCUACGGGAGGCAGCAGUAGGGAAUCUUCGGCAAUGGACGAAAGUCUGACCGAGCAACGCCGCGUGAGUGAAGAAGGUUUUCGGAUCGUAAAGCUCUGUUGUAAGAGAAGAACGGGUGUGAGAGUGGAAAGUUCACACUGUGACGGUAUCUUACCAGAAAGGGACGGCUAACUACGUG
rnacentral:rRNA from 1 species